UCCUUUUUACUUUGUUCCUUUGUGGAUUCAUCCUGGAAAUCAAUGCAGGGCGUGGUUUACAGCAACCAAUAGAACCUAGGUGGUUCCCAGGUUACUCAUCCCUUGUGACAUGUGAGGGAUCAAUCAGUCACAUCCAG